AGCCCUAGGGCUGGGAGUCAGGCUCGCUGUCUCCCCUCCACAGUUGGGUGUAUGUAGGUGGGAUUUACAUGAUUGCUCCUCAGCGCUUCCCCUUUAAUGGGCAGCUAAUUUUUCGACUUACACAUCUGCAUUAAAAUACAUAUUUAGUAUAUGAAAGAUCAGAUCCAGUGUUUAAAGAACGAAGCAUCGACCUCUCUUCAGGUCACUGGGUUCUGAUGUCAUCUGACCAUUGAAUACAUGAUGAGAGAAGAGAAUUUAUAGAUUUUAAUCCUUAUAAAUGCUGAAGCAUGAUUAUCAUUCCUGCUACAAUCAAUAGGGUCUUCCACAGGAAGAUUGUA